rnacentral:rRNA from 1 species
AACGUACGCUGGCGGCACGCUUAACACAUGCAAGUCGAACGAAGUAGCAAUACUUAGUGGCAGACGGGUGAGUAACAUGUGGGUAUCUGCCCUUUGGCCUGGAAUAACACGAGGAAACUUGUGCUAAUACCGGAUAAGUCUUUACGGAGAAAGCUUUAUGCACCAUUGGAUGAGCCCGCACUUGAUUAGUUUGUUGGUGGGGUAAUGGCCUACCAAGACUGUGAUCAAUAGCUGAUUUGAGAGGAUGAUCAGCCACAUUGGGACUGAGACACGGCCCAAACUCCUACGGGAGGCAGCAGUGGGGAAUCUUGCACAAUGGAGGAAACUCUGAUGCAGCGAUGCCGCGUGAGUGAAGAAGGCCCUUGGGUUGUAAAGCUCUUUCGUCGGGGAAGAAAAUGACUGUACCCGAAUAAGAAGGUCCGGCUAACUUCGUGCCAGCAGCCGCGGUAAUACGAAGGGACCUAGCGUAGUUCGGGAUUACUGGGCUUAAAGAGUUCGUAGGUGGUUGAAAAAGUUAGUGGUGAAAUCCCAGAGCUUAACUCUGGAACUGCCAUUAAAACUUUUCAGCUAGAGUAUGAUAGAGGAAAGCAGAAUUUCUAGUGUAGAGGUGAAAUUCGUAGAUAUUAGAAAGAAUACCAAUUGCGAAGGCAGCUUUCUGGAUCAUUACUGACACUGAGGAACGAAAGCAUGGGUAGCGAAGAGGAUUAGAUACCCUCGUAGUCCAUGCCGUAAACGAUGUGUGUUAGACGUUGGAAAUUUAUUUUCAGUGUCGCAGCGAAAGCGAUAAACACACCGCCUGGGGAGUACGACCGCAAGGUUAAAACUCAAAUGAAUUGACGGGGACCCGCACAAGUAGUGGAGCAUGUGGUUUAAUUCGAAGAUACGCGCAGAACCUUACCAACACUUGACAUGUUCGUCGCGACUCUAAGAGAUUAGAGUUUUCGGUUCGGCCGGACGAAACACAGGUGCUGCAUGGCUGUCGUCAGCUCGUGUCGUGAGAUGUUGGGUUAAGUCCCGCAACGAGCGCAACCCUCACUUUUAGUUGCCAUCAUUAAGUUGGGCACUCUGAAAGAACUGCCAGUGAUAAGCUGGAGGAAGGUGGGGAUGACGUCAAGUCCUCAUGGCCCUUACGUGUUGGGCUACACACGCGCUACAAUGGUAUCUACAACAGGAAGCAAGACUGCGAGGUCAAGCAAAUCCUUAAAAGAUACCUCAGUUCGGAUUGCACUCUGCAACUCGAGUGCGUGAAGCUGGAAUUACUAGUAAUCGUGGAAUCAGCGUGCCACGGUGAAAUGCGUUCCCGGGUCU